rnacentral:rRNA from 1 species
UACGGAGGGUGCAAGCGUUGUUCGGAUUUACUGGGCGUAAAGGGCGCGUAGGCGGCGUGACAAGUCACUUGUGAAAUCUCCGGGCUUAACUCGGAACGGUCAAGUGAUACUGUCGUGCUAGAGUACAGAAGGGGCAACUGGAAUUCUCGGUGUAGCGGUGAAAUGCGUAGAUAUCGAGAGGAACACCUGCGGCGAAGGCGGGUUGCUGGGCUGAUACUGACGCUGAGGCGCGAAAGCCCAGGGGAGCGAACGGG